AAAUUUAUUUUAAAGCUGUUAGUUCUCUUAAUUUGUUCAAAAAAUUAAUUUAUUUAAAUUAAAAAAUUAAUUAUGUCAAAGUUAAUAUUGAUUUUGCUUUUAAUCACCAUAAUGGCUGUAGGAGCCAAUGCUUGUCUUAGUUAUCGGGCAAUCUGCGAUCGGCACAGUGAUUGCUGCAGUAAAUAUUGCAAAAGGAGCAUCGUCGCCGAACCUUCAUGUGCAGAAACCUAAAUAUAUAUAUAUAUAUAUAUAUAUAUAUAUAUAUAUAUAUAUAUAUAUAUAUAUAUAUAUAUAUAUAUAUAUAUAUAUAUAUAUAUAUAUAUAUCAUUUAUUUUAAUAAA